rnacentral:rRNA from 1 species
UACGGGGGGGGCAAGCGUUGUUCGGAAUUACUGGGCGUAAAGGGCUCGUAGGCGGCCAACUAAGUCAGACGUGAAAUCCCUCGGCUUAACCGGGGAACUGCGUCUGAUACUGGAUGGCUUGAGAUUGGGAGAGGGAUGCGGAAUUCCAGGUGUAGCGGUGAAAUGCGUAGAUAUCUGGAGGAACACCGGUGGCGAAGGCGGCCUUCUGGACGAUGACUGACGCUGAGACGCGAAAGCGUGGGGAGCAAACAGG